CUUGCAACUAUAAGAGGUCCAGCCUGCCCAGUGACCCAGUUCAACGGCCGCGGUAUCCUAACCGUGCGAAGGUAGCGUAAUCACUUGUUUUCUAAAUAAAAACUAGUAUGAAAGGCAUCACGAGAAUUAAACUGUCUCCCUUUUCUAAUCAGUAAACCUAAUCUCCCCGUGAAGAAGCGGGGAUCAUCUAAUAAGACGAGAAGACCCUAUGGAGCUUUAAACAUACUAAUCAUAUGACCUACUUUAUCACACCCAGGUGCACAUACUCACACAUAAUGAUUAUAUGUUUUCGGUUGGGGUGACCGCGGAGAAUAAACCAUCCUCCGCGAUGAUAAGGGCCCCCCCACAAACAACAAGCCACAGCUUUAUGUAUCAACAAAUUGACACCAUUGACCCAAUAUAUUGAUUAACGAAC
rnacentral:rRNA from 1 species